rnacentral:misc_RNA from 1 species
AACGCACAUUGCGCCCGCUAGUAUUCUGGCGGGCAUGCCUGUUCGAGCGUCAUUUCAACCAUCAAGCCCUAGGCUUGUGUUGGGGUUCUACGGUCUCCGUAGGCCCCUAAAAGUAGUGGCGAGCUCAUUGUUAUUCCGAGCGUAGUAGUAUAUCUUCGUUCUGGAGGUCACAUGAGUAUUAGCCGUAAAAUCUUACUCCUAAGGUUGACCUCGGAUCAGGUAGGAAUACCCGCUGAACUUAA